GACGAACCGUGCGAACGUUGUUCGGAAUCACUGGGCUUAAAGGGCGCGUAGGCGGGCUAUCAAGUCCGGGGUGAAAUCUUUCGGCUCAACCGGAAAACUGCCUUGGAUACUGAUCGUCUUGAGGGAGGUAGGGGCAGGUGGAACUUCCGGUGGAGCGGUGAAAUGCGUUGAUAUCGGAAGGAACGCCGGUGGCGAAAGCGACCUGCUGGAUCUCUUUUGACGCUGAUGCGCGAAAGCUAGGGUAGCGAACGGG
rnacentral:rRNA from 1 species